UGUCCCACUCACCACAGCCUCCACGCACCCUUGGGCUGUGGCAAUGGUGUGUGAUGAGGCCAGGGACUUGGCUCGCCCUGGCAUCCUGAGUGGGUGUCAGUAGGUUAGUUCCCAGCACUCCCUGCCCUGACCCUGGUUUUUGUGGUCUAUCCUGGCGCAGGGGACACUGGUCUGAGUCCUGCUGGGUCUGUAGGACUGGCCUCCUUGGCCGGGAAACUGUCCAGGUGGGUGGGGCAGCCUGGUCCCUGAAGAAUAGGGACAGACAGAUUGGCCCUAGAGUUCUUGGGGGUGCUUGAAUGCAGAAGAGGUGACAGUGCUAAAGGGUUUCAAGUGACGGGUCAGGGUCUUUGCUGUGGCUGUGCUGACCUCUUGGGAAAGCAGUGCCUAUGAGAGGAGGGAGGCUGGGCUCUUUCUAAGUUCCCAAGGCAUUCCACAGGCUGAUGUUGGCACUGUGGGCAGGAACUGGACACUCUGAGGGUGACCUGAGGCCUAGCCAAGGUUGGAGCUUUACCCAGCUCCGAGGGUCCCCAGCAGGGAGGGUUGUGGGCAGGGGCCAGGGAGACAGCCCUUUAAGGCUCUGCUGAGGUGCCUAGUGGGAGGCCAGUCCAUGCCUGGGGCCCCCCUGGGAGAGGGGCUGGGAUGGCCUGGAGGGAGAUGUGUGUAGAGGCCUGGGGUGAGUGACUUAGCUGCUGGGGCAGGGGUCUCUGAGGUGCCUGGGUCUCUGAGGAUGGGAAGGGAAAGGUGGAAAUGAGGCUACCAGAAGGGCAGGCCUGCUCCUCUGGCUGGGCAUUAGAGAGGACUCUGCGGGUUGCCAGGGCACCGAGGGUUGGGGUCGGUGAGUGGUCAUAUGAGGGUGGUGCCUCAUGCAAGAGGAUGGUCCAAGAUGGACACAGAGCCGGGCAUGGGCCCUGAAGCCCGGCCCAGCCAGGCCAUGCAGGAGUCGCAGGAAGGGUGGCAGAGCCAGAAGGAACUUGACUGCACUGGAAAUCCCUGGGUGUUCUGACAUGGGAGGAAGAGCAUCGUGACAGAGAUGAGGCUUGGAGCCCUGGGGAGGCCCGACUGGACACAGGUGGCACAGGGGGCCUGCGGACAGUGAAGUGUCCUGCAAAGAUCGAGAUGCCGCCGGAGACGGAGGGCAAGCCCCAGAGCCCCCUGGAAGGAGGCCCCGCUCUUGAAAGUAUUGACUACUUCAAUCUGCAACGGAGGAGAGAACGAGACAGGUUGCGAGAGGAACACACAGCAGCCGCACGACUGACAGUGCCACGCCACGAGGACAGCGCAGCCACGGCGACGACAAUGACGAUGACAACAGUGCCACUUACACCAAACACAAAAUACUAGGUACAUCCCAAGGCCCGGAACCACCUCUGCCAGCUCCAGGCCCCGGAGGGGACAGGCUGGGUGCUCAACCCCCUUUGGGACCAGGUGUGGAAUCCAAGCAGUUGGGAGCACGUGGGGUACAAAAGGUGUUGCCCUAAACUCAAGCUCAGCCACUUGGGCCAGGUGCCCGAGUCCAGCCUGUUGUCUUAAAGGGGGAUGUCGCCCACCUUUCAGGGCCAUCUGCAGCUGGGAAAGCCCCUGGCUCACGUGAGCACCCACCUAGAGGCAGGUGCUUGGGUCCCCCAGG